rnacentral:rRNA from 1 species
AGGACGAACGCUGGCGGCGUGCCUAACACAUGCAAGUCGAGCGGGACAUUGCGACGGAGACGAAGUACUCGUACGGAGUCAAAGAUGUAAUGUUCUAGCGGCGGACGGGUGAGUAACGCGUGAGCAACCUGUCCCUUACAGGGGGAUAACACAGCGAAAGUUGUACUAAUACCGCAUAAGACCACGGAGUGACAUCGCUCAGGGGGUCAAAAGGAGCAAUCCGGUAAGGGGUGGGCUCGCGUCCGAUUAGAUAGUUGGUGAGGUAACGGCCCACCAAGUCGACGAUCGGUAGCCGACCUGAGAGGGUGAUCGGCCACAUUGGGACUGAGACACGGCCCAAACUCCUACGGGAGGCAGCAGUGGGGAAUAUUGGGCAAUGGGGGAAACCCUUGACCCAGCAACGCCGCGUGAGGGAAGAAGGUUUUCGGAUCGUAAACCUCUGUCCCAGGUGAAGAGGAAGAGACGGUAGCCUGGGAGGAAGCCCCGGCUAACUACGUGCCAGCAGCUGC